GCAAGUUUAGAACCAGGACCCAGAAGAAAGGGUCAAGGGAGAAUCUCUCUGGUGUCUUGCAGCUAGGAGCAUGGGGGGAACCCUUCUCUUGCUUUUGCUUUCCCUACUUCCUGCUCACCUGUCCUGUGCCCACAUGAAGCAGGAGGUCUCUGUCACAGGCAUUCAGGGUGACUCGGCUCGAAUCACCUGUCAGGUCUCUAAUGCUGUUUCCUACUGGAUACACUGGUACCGGUUUCAGGAUGGGAAGCCCCCACAGCGCCUUCUCUGCUUGUCCCGGGAAUCAGGCGAGCUGCGUUUUGAUGAGGGCUUUGGCAGUAAUAAAUUCCAUGCUUUUAAGGAUCAGUUUAAUGGUGAGAAGUUUAUCUUGUUAAUCAAAAAGCUGGAAGUGAGAGACAGUGGCAUGUAUUACUGCGCUAUCUGGGACUGGGACUACCACAGUGCACCAGGAUGCAUCUCCUCCCCACACAAAAGGCCCUGCUGGAAACAACUUGGAGCAGCUGGUGCUGAACAAAGCAGGGAAAGCCUCUGCUUCAACCCUACCCUGUCCUUACUCUCCUCAGCCUGUGCAGGACCUCAGCCAAUCUUCCCUCCAUGGAUGGGGAAAGUCCUUCAGCUAGCCCAACAUAGUCCACCACCCUCCUCUCGUCUAAACCCUUGAGAAAAUUCAUUGAGGGUGUACAAGUCCAUCCUAAAUUUCCCCGAAGCUAACUGAACACCAAGUGUUUAUGCUUGGACAACUCUCUAUGGUAAGGUUAAAGGUCACACUGUAAUAAGAAGAUUGGCCAGUGGAGGGAGAGUCCUUGGAGCAAGCUUAGAUUUGCCCCCUCUCAUGGAUUACAUGAGGAAUGCCAAAGGAGCUAAAUUCUGAAUGGAGCUUACACACCAAAAGAUGGAUACAGUCUUCCCUUGGCUCCUUUGUCUAUUUACUUCCUGACUUUGAUGGACCCAAGAACUCCUUAGAGCUGCAAAGUGGGAGAGGAGCUGUGGAUGUCCUGAUUCCCACCCUCUUGCCACGUGUCCUUGAACACACGGCACCUCUUUUUGUAUGUGUUUCUUCUUUCCUGGUCUUGGACAAUUGGAU
ensembl:lncRNA